rnacentral:tRNA from 1 species
AAGAUACUAGUAAAAUAAUUACACCACCUUGUCAAGGUAAAAUUGUAGGUUAAACUCCUACGUAUCUUA